CUGUCUGAUUUGCUUGGUGAAUUUACUUGGAUGCUGUGUUUCUUCUGGAGAACGUUCGAAUCAACACCCGAACUGCAAGCUACAAUCACUGAAAUACCAGCGUUCGUUACAAACGACAUCAAGCUGUAGUGGUUCUGGUGACUAUAGUGUCCCUUUAAGAAUUGCAUUUUCUCAAUGAAAUUGACUGGCUCCAAACUUUUUUAGCUGGCUCCUAGAUUCCAAACAAAUGUGUCAGCCCUGGUGUGAAGACUGAAAUGUCAAUGCCAUUAUUAUGUGAAUGAAGCCCGAACAUUUUUUUUUAACCAUAAAUCCACUCGAGGGCACUCUGUGUGGUGGA